rnacentral:lncRNA from 1 species
GGUGUUUCAUCCUCCACCUCCAAGCUUUCAUCCUGUACCUCCAAAAAUUACCAUUUUAACCUUAAUAUUAUUUUAAUAUUUUUUCUUUCUUCAUAAAGUCAUUCUGCANCNCUCUAACUUUUUCUCUUUCUUAUUAAAGUCAACCUACACCCUUCUAAUUUUUUUCUCUCUCAUCCUAUAUUUUAAUAGACUUUAAAAUCUAUACAAUUUUUUUUAUAAAUUUUUUAAAUUUCAUUUUAAAUN